GACGGAGGGUGCGAGCGUUGUUCGGAUUUACUGGGCGUAAAGCGUACGUAGGCGGCUGGUCAAGUCCAGUGUUAAAGUCCAAGGCUCAACCUUGGGAGUGCACUGGAUACUGGUCAGCUAGAGGACAGUAGAGGAGGGUGGAAUUCCCAGUGUAGCGGUGAAAUGCGUAGAUAUUGGGAGGAACAUCAGUAGCGAAGGCGACCCUCUGGGCUGAUCCUGACGCUGAGGUACGAAAGCGUGGGGAGCAAACGGG
rnacentral:misc_RNA from 1 species